rnacentral:misc_RNA from 1 species
UAAAGUGCGAUAUGUAGUGCGAUUUGCAUGAAUCUGUGAGUCAUCUAAUCUUUGAACGCAACUUGCGCCUCUCCCGAGGCAUGUCUGUUUGAGUGCCGCAAACCUUUUGCAGCAAUGCGAUCUGACUGUUGUCCCCGGACUCGGUCUAAACGUAGCCAGAUAGCGGCCUAUGUGUAGGCUAGCCCGAGUGCUAAGCAUUCUUGGCGCUGGCCCAUAUGUAGAGCCCGAGAGGGGGUGGGUGGGUAGGUGAGUGGUAGUAAUACCCUUCUCUUCCUCCCUCCCUCCCUCUCUCUCCUACUUAUUUGGCCUCAAAUCAGGCAAGACUACCCGCUGAACUUAA